rnacentral:tRNA from 1 species
ACUUUUAAUGGACAAGAGUGGUCCGAUGGUCUUAGGAGCCACAAUUCU